AGAGUUUGAUCCUGGCUCAGAUUGAACGCUGGCGGAAUGCUUUACACAUGCAAGUCGAACGGUAGAGGGGGCAACCCCUUGAGAGUGGCGAACGGGUGAGUAAUAUAUCGGAACGUGUCCAAUAAUGGGGGAUAACGAGUCGAAAGAUUCGCUAAUACCGCAUACGCCCUACGGGGGAAAGCAGGGGAUCGUAAGACCUUGCGUUAAUGGAGCGGCCGAUAUCUGAUUAGCUUGUUGGUGAGGUAAAGGCUCACCAAGGCGACGAUCAGUAGCUGGUUUGAGAGAACGACCAGCCACACUGGAACUGAGACACGGUCCAGACUCCUACGGGAGGCAGCAGUGGGGAAUUUUGGACAAUGGGGGCAACCCUGAUCCAGCCAUUCCGCGUGAGUGAAGAAGGCCUUCGGGUUGUAAAGCUCUUUCGCAAGGGAAGAAAACUUAUGAUCGAAUAAAUCAUGAGGUUGACGGUACCUUGAUAAGAAGCACCGGCUAACUACGUGCCAGCAGCCGCGGUAAUACGUAGGGUGCGAGCGUUAAUCGGAAUUACUGGGCGUAAAGCGUGCGCAGGCGGUUUUGUAAGUCGGAUGUGAAAUCCCCGGGCUCAACCUGGGAACUGCGUUCGAAACUGCAAGGCUAGAGUGUGUCAGAGGGGGGUGGAAUUCCUAGUGUAGCGGUGAAAUGCGCAGAUAUUAGGAGGAACACCGGUGGCGAAGGCGCCACUCUGGAUCGACACUGACGCUGAGGAACGAAAGCAUGGGUAGCAAACAGGAUUAGAUACCCUGGUAGUCCAUGCGGUAAACGGUGGGCACUAGGUGUGGGUUUCUAUUAACGAAAUCCGCGCCGUCGCUAACGCAUUAAGUGCCCCGCCUGGGGAGUACGGUCGCAAGACUAAAACUCAAAGGAAUUGACGGGGGCCCGCACAAGCAGCGGAGCGUGUUGCUUAAUUCGAUGCUACGCGAAGAACCUUACCUAGGUUUGACAUGUUUGGAAAAGCAACAGAGAUGUUGUGUCCGCAAGGGCCAAACACAGGUGGUGCAUGGCUGUCGUCAGCUCGUGUCGUGAGAUGUUGGGUUAAGUCCCGCAACGAGCGCAACCCUUAUCCAAUGUUGCCAGCAAGUUAUGUUGGGGACUCAUUGGAGACUGCCGGGGUUAACUCGGAGGAAGGUGGGGAUGACGUCAAGUCCUCAUGCCCCUUAUGUCUAGGGCUGCAAACACGCUACAAUGGCCGAUACAAAGGGUUGCCUGCUCGCGAGAGUUAGCUAAUCCCGUAAAGUCGGUCUCAGUUCGAAUUGAAGUCUGCAACUCGACUUCAUGAAGCUGGAGUUGCUAGUAAUCCCGGAUCAGCACGCCGGGGUGAAUACGUUCCCGGGCCUUGUACACACCGCCCGUCACACCACGAAAGUCGGCAACACCCAAAGCCGGUGGCCUAACCGCAAGGAAGGGGCCGUCUAAGGUGGGGUCGGUGAUUGGGGUGAAGUCGUAACAAGGUAACC
rnacentral:rRNA from 1 species